AUGACUAUUUAUGUCUCUAGCAUGACCACUUGAUGAAAUCUGGAGGGAAGUGGGGUAAAUGACUGAUACCACUAGAAGGAUUCCUCUUUGGAUAAUAGGUACUGUAGCUGGUAUUCUUGUAAUCGGUUUAAUAGGUAUUUUCUUUUAUGGGUCAUAUUCCUGAUUGGGUUCAUCCCUGUAGUAAUCGACUGAAUUGAGUUGUCAACAUGAAAGCGUAAGAACUCAACAAGAUUCCCUUCUUUGUUUGUUUGAUUCG
rnacentral:lncRNA from 1 species